AAGGGCUUCCAAAGAAGAGGUGGACCCAAUGGAGACAUUGUAGACUCCGACGUGGAGGGACUAGCUGGUGAGAAAGGGGAAAAGGUAUGUCUGGAGAAUCUGGCACUAAAGGACAGCACAGAGUGAGGAGACCUUGGACAUAAUGGUCCAACAUGGAGACUCUGGGAAGCCAGGUGAUGUAGGACCCCCUGGACUGCCUGGUCCUCGGGGGUUGAACGGCAUGAGCGGUGUGCAUGGCAGGCCGGGUAUUGAGGGUCCACCGGGACAAGAUAUAUCUGACCAGCAUAUUAUUGAUGUGGUAUAAAGAAUGUUGCAAGAGAGGCUGGCAGCAGUAGCAGUGAGCACUAAAAGGGCUGUGCCGUUGAACAACCGGCUAUUCUGGUCCUCCGUGAUUAAUGGUUCCACAAGGACCACAUUAUUUGCCUGGUUCCCGAAGAAUUCCUGGAACGAUGGGAGCUGACAGACGGAUUGGAAACACAUGUCUUAAAGGUAGGGACAUGUUUAGUUUCAUCUACAGUAAUGUGUGUGUAUACAUAUGCUUACAUAUACAUAUUUAAACAUGUGUAUACAUUUGUACCAAUGUGUACAUAUGUAUGCACUUUUUUUUUAGUCAGUAUACAAACGUACAACGAAUUGGGGUUAGGGUUAGAGGGUUAACCCUAACCCCAACCCUAACCGACUGUCUUUCUAUGCCUAAAACCUACCCUCUAACCCUAACCAUAACCCCAACCCUAAACGACUUUCUUUCUAUGCCUAAAUGCUACCCAUCUCGCUUUCUCUUUAAAUCUAACCCUAAAUCCUUACCCCAACCCUAACCCCAAUCCUAACCCCAACCCUAACCGACUGUCUUUUCUAUGCCUAAAACCUACCCUCUAACCCCAACCCUA